GUGUCGGUAUGCAAGCUGGUUAAAGCAGACGGACUGUAACUCCGUUUCGAAAGAUUCGAAGGUUCAAAUCCUUCCCGGCACA
rnacentral:tRNA from 1 species